AGCACUUGUGUGUGUGUGUCUUUAUUUAAUUUGGAACCAAGCCUUCAGACAGAUGUAAGCAGUAAAUCCUCUUUUGCAACCCAUAAUGCAUUUUGGUACAUACAAGAAGGAAUAUG
rnacentral:snoRNA from 1 species